AGUCGAACGGCAGCAUGAUCUAGCUUGCUAGAUUGAUGGCGAGUGGCGAACGGGUGAGUAAUACAUCGGAACGUGCCCUGUAGUGGGGGAUAACUAGUCGAAAGAUUAGCUAAUACCGCAUACGACCUGAGGGUGAAAGCGGGGGACCGCAAGGCCUCAUGCUAUAGGAGCGGCCGAUGUCUGAUUAGCUAGUUGGUGGGGUAAAGGCCCACCAAGGCGACGAUCAGUAGCUGGUCUGAGAGGACGAUCAGCCACACUGGGACUGAGACACGGCCCAGACUCCUACGGGAGGCAGCAGUGGGGAAUUUUGGACAAUGGGCGAAAGCCUGAUCCAGCAAUGCCGCGUGUGUGAAGAAGGCCUUCGGGUUGUAAAGCACUUUUGUCCGGAAAGAAAUGGCUCUGGUUAAUACCUGGGGUCGAUGACGGUACCGGAAGAAUAAGGACCGGCUAACUACGUGCCAGCAGCCGCGGUAAUACGUAGGGUCCAAGCGUUAAUCGGAAUUACUGGGCGUAAAGCGUGCGCAGGCGGUUGUGCAAGACCGAUGUGAAAUCCCCGAGCUUAACUUGGGAAUUGCGUUGGUGACUGCACGGCUAGAGUGUGUCAGAGGGGGGUAGAAUUCCACGUGUAGCAGUGAAAUGCGUAGAGAUGUGGAGGAAUACCGAUGGCGAAGGCAGCCCCCUGGGAUAACACUGACGCUCAUGCACGAAAGCGUGGGGAGCAAACAGGAUUAGAUACCCUGGUAGUCCACGCCCUAAACGAUGUCAACUAGUUGUUGGGGAUUCAUUUCCUUAGUAACGUAGCUAACGCGUGAAGUUGACCGCCUGGGGAGUACGGUCGCAAGAUUAAAACUCAAAGGAAUUGACGGGGACCCGCACAAGCGGUGGAUGAUGUGGAUUAAUUCGAUGCAACGCGAA
rnacentral:rRNA from 1 species